ensembl:snoRNA
UAAGCAGGCUGCAAUUACAGUGCUUCACACUGUGGGAGUACUGCCAUUAACCUGCUGAGAGUAACAUGCUGCUGGGAACCUGGUUUAACAUUUUCACCAACAUGGUGAUGGUGUUUACCUAACACAGCUACAUUU